rnacentral:rRNA from 1 species
AGAGUUUGAUCCUGGCUCAGAUUGAACGCUGGCGGCAUGGCUAAAACAUGCAAGUCGAACGAUCCCUUCGGGGAGAGUGGCGAAAGGGCGAGGAAUACGAUCGAACGUACCCCGAGGUGGGGGAUAGCGUGGGGAAACUCACGGUAAUACCCCAUGUCCUCUACGGAGAAAAGGUUUACCGCCUUGGGAGCGGCGAUCGUCCUAUCAGGUAGUUGGCGGGGUAAUGGCCCACCAAGCCGAAGACGGGUAGCGGGUGUGAGAGCACGACCCGCCGCAUCGGGACUGAGACACUGCCCGGACUCCUACGGGAGGCUGCAGUAACGAAUCUUCCGCAAUGGGCGAAAGCCUGACGGAGCAAUGCCGCGUGUGGGAUGAAGCAUCUUCGAUGUGUAAACCACUGUCAGGGUUUAGGAACAAUGACCAGACCCAAAGGAAGGGCCGGCUAACUCUGUGCCAGCAGCCGCGGUAAUACAGAGGGCCCGAGCGUUAAUCGGAAUCACUGGGCUUAAAGCGUACGCAGGCGGCCCUGAAGGCAUCGUGUGAAAUCCCGCGGCUUAACCGCGGAACUGCACGGUGAACCACAGGGCUUGAGGCAGGUAGGGGUCAGUGGAACCAUGAGUGGAGCGGUGAAAUGCGUAGAUAUUCAUGGGAACGCCAAUGGCGAAGGCAGCUGACUGGGCCUGUUCUGACGCUCAUGUACGAAAGCGUGGGGAGCAAACAGGAUUAGAUACCCUGGUAGUCCACGCCGUAAACGAUGCACACUAGAUCGAGGGAGCUCUCACGCUUUCUCGGUCGAAGGUAAACUGAUUAGUGUGCCGCCUGGGGAGUACGGUCGCAAGGCUAAAACUCAAAGGAAUUGACGG